GUGAAUGGAAGAUUCAUCUCCCUCCUCCAACCACUGAAGAGCAGCACGUGGCGAACAGCAGCUGAUGGUGGCCAGGCCGAGGCCCAGCCUUGUGACCAACGCACAGCAAUGCUCUCUCAAGCACUCAUUUCUGGCCAGGGUUGAACUCUGCAGAGUUGUAUUGCAGGUUCCAGCUGCCCUUCCCCUGAAGAUAGUCCCGGUCCCGAUGGGAGGUGAAGAUGACUCCAACUUCCCCAGUACAGUGGUCUGCUGGUCCGGUGUCCUCUGCGUCUUUGUAGUGUGGAACCAGGUGGCUGUACAGAGAAGAGGCCAGCGGAGUGGGGGUGCGGGGGGCUGUCCAGCGGAUUGCUGCUGGGGUGCGAGCUGAUUCAGCGUGUUGCAUGCAACUCGCAACUUGGUAUGGCAUCCUCACCGAUCAUCUUUCCAGUAUGAAUUUGUUCCUCUUCUCAUUUGAUCGUGGGUUAUUUUUUCUUCUUUGCCUGUCUUCUACCUAGUUUUCCUAUAAAGUACUUAUAUUUUCCUUAUACAUUUAUUACAGAUAUUUUUAUAAGAUAUAUAUAAAUGCAUAUCUUGUUACUGAUUUUUGUUUUUUAAUAAGAUUUUAAUUUUCUAUUAAUUCUCUUCAGUUUUCUCCUUAGCAACACCUUCCAUAGGAUGUUACAAAAUAUUCUAAAAUAUAUUCCUAUAAUUCUAUGCUUUGAAAGUAUUUAGAUCUUCUAUCUAUCAGAAGACUGGUAUCUAAUGUUUUCUGUCAGAGGAAUAUUUCGUUUCC
rnacentral:lncRNA from 1 species